rnacentral:tRNA from 1 species
AAUGAAGUGCCUGAUUAAAGGGUCAUCUUGAUAGGGUGAAUAAAGUAAUUUUUAUUACCUUCAUUA